rnacentral:rRNA from 1 species
AUUGAACGCUGGCGGCAUGCUUUACACAUGCAAGUCGAACGAGUGGCGGACGGGUGAGUAACGCAUCGAAACGUACCUAGUAAUGGGGGAUAACUGUCCGAAAGGACAGCUAAUACCGCAUAUUAUUCGAGCGGCCGAUGUCUGAUUAGCUGGUUGGCGGGGUAAAGGCCCACCAAGGCGACGAUCAGUAGCGGGUCUGAGAGGAUGAGCGGCCACACUGUGACUGAGACACGGCCCAGACUCCUACGGGAGGCAGCAGUGGGGAAUGUUGGACAAUGGGCGAAAGCCUGAUCCAGCCAUGCCGCGUGUUUGAAGAAGGCCUUCGGGUUGUAAAGGACUUUUGUCAGGGAAGCGGUAUCUAAAGAAUAAGCAGCGGCUAACUACGGGCCAGCAGCCGCGGUAAUAC